rnacentral:misc_RNA from 1 species
AACGCACCUUGCACUCUUUGGUAUUCCGAAGAGUAUGUCUGUUUGAGUGUCGUGAAACUCUCAACCCCCCUGUUUUGUAAUGAGACGGGCGUGGGCUUGGUUUAUGGCUGUCUGUCGGACCUUACAGUUCGGCUCGGCUGAAAUACAUGAGCGACCACCUUGAUGUGACGGUUGACUCGGCGUAAUAAUCAUAUCUCGCUGAGGACGUCAGUAUCAAUAUCGGCGCUGAUAAUUCAAUCACUUCAAUCUUUGACCUCAAAUCAGUCAGGACUACCCGCUGAACUUAA